AUGGCUGCGCUCUGCAACUUUUGGUUCUCUAUACCUUUGCAGAUUCUGAGUGUCUCCUGCUGGGCAGUUAUGGCCUAUGACUGGUACAAGGCCAUCAGCAGCCCUUUGCUCUAUGUGGUCAGCAUGUCCAGCAGGGUGUGCUCCCUGCUCCUGGCUGGGGUUUAUCUGUCACUUAACUGUGCUCCAGACCGUAUCUGCUUUACUUACCCCUGUAAAUCCCACACCCAGCACAAACAAGACUCAACAAAUUUGUGGCUGAAGAGGCAGGAACAUACCCUGUCCUCAAGGAGAUGAAGCCGAGCAAGAUGGGAGCCUGAUGAUAACCCUGUGUGAUGAGGAGGCCCCAGGAGGACCUGUGUGGCUGUGGGGUGGGGUGGGGGGCAUUGGCAGAACCCCUGAUGAGCUCCUGGGGAUGGAGAAAGUGGCAGGAAGGAGGGGGUCUGUUCCUUGUGGGGUGUCCACAGAUUGUACCUCACCCUUCACUGAUGAGCACUUAGGCCAUUUUCAAACACGUGUCACUGUUCUGGAGGAAACAAUCAUUGCCCAGCUCCUACUCAAUCAAUUUCGUAGAUAUGUCUCUAGCAUUGGAGUAUAAACGUCUGCUUUAUUCAUUCCAUGCUCCGUUCAUCCACCCAUCCAGCCAGCCAUCUGUUCAUCCAUCCAUCCACUCACUAAUCAAUCCAUCCAUCCACUCUUAAUUCAUCCGAUCAUCUCAGACCCAUUGAGAAGACAGACGCCUCCUCCGCUCCUGCUCCCAGGAGGACACCCAGUGUGAGUGACAGGAGCCUCGUGGGGAUAAGGGGGGAGACACAGAAGGGACAUGCCUGCAGGCCUUCCUCCCUCUGAACGGUGAAGCACCCACCUGGUCCUAACGCCUCCUUGCCGGGGUGUUCAGGCUGGCCCUUUUCCUUCUUGCAAAACAAGCGGCUGAUGGAGGACUUGAUGGCCUUCUUCUUCGGGGCUUUGUGCAGCAAGUCCUGGUGAGAGAGUCAUUUCCUAGGCAGGUUGAUAGGGAGUCUAGGGGUCCCCAAGGAGAGAGGGGUCUGGAAUUCUCAAGGAGGAAGAAAGGACAAACUUUUUUUCUUUCUCCACAUUCCUUAGGAUUAUAUGUAUCCUGCCUAAGGACAGUCUUUGGAUUCAACCUUCUGUUAUCUUAAAAUGUUAAUUAUGGGAGUAGACCUGGUCUUUACAAGGAUGUAUCUUGCCUGAGGACAGUGUUAUCUUAAAAUGCAUCUUAUGGGUGAGGGGCCUGGUGCCAUUCUGAAUUUUAAGACAUUCCUUUCUUUCAUUAACAGACUGCUAGUGACUAUAUAACAUCCAGCUGAAGACUAGCAGGCGGGUACUCUUUCUACCCCCUUCUGAUGCCUAUGUCAGAAGCUUUCUCUAUCUCCUUUAUACUUUAAUAAAACUUUAUUACA
rnacentral:lncRNA from 1 species